GACGAACGCUGGCGGCGUGCUUAACACAUGCAAGUCGAACGGAAAGGCGCCGCUUUUGUGGGGUGCUCGGGUGGCGAACGGGUGAGUAACACGUGAGUAAACUGCCCUGGACUUUGGGAUAAGUUCAGGAAAUUGGGGCUAAUACAGGAUAGGAGCUCCUGCGGCAUGGUGGGGGUGGGAAAGUUUCGGAGGUUGGGGAUGGACUCGCGGCUUAUCAGCUUGUUGGGGGGGUAGGGGCUGACAAGGGCUUCGACGGGUAGCCGGCCUGAGUGGGUGACCGGCCACGUUGGGACUGAUAUGCGGCGCAGCCGCCUACGGUAGGCAGCAGUGGGGGAUAUUGCGAUGUGGGCGGGCGCCGGAUGCAGUGACGCCGCUUGCGGUAUGACGCCCUUCGGGUUGUGAACCGCUUUCGCCUGUUACGAAGCGUGAUUGACGGUAACUGGUAAAGAAGCACCGGCUAACUACGUG
rnacentral:rRNA from 1 species